AGAUGGUCCAACAGUAGUGAGUCAACAUAAAUUACUACUGUUAUUUAAAAAAACCUUUUUGUAUUCCAUCCAUCUGCUAACCCUGACUGUUCUUUC
rnacentral:sRNA from 1 species